rnacentral:rRNA from 1 species
UACAGAGGGUGCAAGCGUUAAUCGGAAUUACUGGGCGUAAAGCGUGCGUAGGUGGUUAACUAAGUCAGAUGUGAAAUCCCUGGGCUCAACCUGGGAACUGCAUUUGAUACUGGUUAGCUAGAGUUUGGUAGAGGGAAGUGGAAUUCCACGUGUAGCGGUGAAAUGCGUAGAUAUGUGGAGGAACAUCAGUGGCGAAGGCGGCUUCCUGGACUAAAACUGACACUGAGGCACGAAAGCGUGGGGAGCAAACAGG